rnacentral:lncRNA from 1 species
UCAAGGUUUGCUAGACUAUUCUCAUAUUUCGCAAUCCUUGUCUAAUUUCACUUGUUCCAAUAUCAAAGCUCCGUGUUCGCUUUAUGAAUUGAUAUUUGUGAUGAUGAAUUAACAAAUACUAUCCCUCCGCGUUCGCUUUAUGAGUUUGGUAUUUGUUAAUUCAUUAUCAAAACGGUGAAAUUAGAUUAGAAAGUGGAUUUAUAUAAAAUUAGGGUUUAUGGUUUGGUUUGAUUAGGAUUACGUCAUUAGGCUUAUCCAA